GGGCCCGCACAAGCAGUGGAGUAUGUGGUUUAAUUCGAAGCAACGCGAAGAACCUUACCAGGGCUUGACAUGCAGGUGAAUAUAUAAGAGAUUAUAUAGUCUUUCGGGACACCUGUGCAGGUGGUGCAUGGUUGUCGUCAGCUCGUGUCGUGAGAUGUUGGGUUAAGUCCCGCAACGAGCGCAACCCCUGUUGUUAGUUGCCAUCAUUAAGUUGGGCACUCUAACGAGACUGCCGGUGACAAAUCGGAGGAAGGUGGGGACGACGUCAAAUCAUCAUGCCCCUUAUGUCCUGGGCUACACACGUACUACAAUGGCUAUAACAGCAGGGAGCUAAGGAGUAAUCCGGAGCGAAUCCUGAAAAAUAGUCCCAGUUCGGAUUGUGGGCUGCAACCCGCCCACAUGAAGUCGGAAUUGCUAGUAAUGGCAGGUCAGCAUACUGCCGUGAAUACGUUCCCGGGCCUU
rnacentral:rRNA from 1 species